UUUGGGCAGGUUUAAGUCUAAAUUUCCAAAGCCUCACACCUGUGGUUUUACCGAAAAGGUACCGCUCCAGGAAACCAGUGAUGGACAAAGGAUGCACGGUAUAGCUAUGAUGUAAGAGCGCCCUCUGCAGGCCACAUGAAGAAACAGAUUGCCUGCCCAGAAGCAGCAUGGCUAAUGGGUGCUACUGUGGAGACCCAGGCAACCUGAGAAUAGUCCUGGCAGCCAGACCUCCAGGGUGGAAACGGGAAGAGCAACAGAGAAAG